ACUCAAAUGAAUUGACGGGGGCCCGCACAAGCGGCGGAGCAUGUUGCUUAAUUCGAGGCAACGCGAAGAACCUUACCUGGAUUGAACUACGCAGGAAAAGCCAUAGAGAUAUGGUGUCCUUCGGGGCCUGUGAUAGGUGGUGCAUGGCUGUCGUCAGCUCGUGUCGUGAGAUGUUGGGUUAAGUCCCGCAACGAGCGCAACCCUUGUCCUAUGUUGCCAGCACGUUAUGGUGGGGACUCGUAGGAGACUGCCGGGGUCAACUCGGAGGAAGGUGGGGACGACGUCAAGUCAUCAUGCCCCUUAUGUCCAGGGCUGCAAACAUGCUACAAUGGCCGGUACAAAGGGCUGCUAUACCGCGAGGUGGAGCGAAUCCCAUAAAGCCGGUCUCAGUUCGGAUUGGAGUCUGCAACUCGACUCCAUGAAGUCGGAGUCGCUAGUAAUCCCGGAUCAGCAACGCCGGGGUGAAUACGUUCCCGGGCCUUGCACACACCGCCCGU
rnacentral:rRNA from 1 species